AACAAAGUUUUUCUCCCCCAUACUUGAAUGAAACAUUGUCCCUAAUGGUUCAAAAGAAAGACAAAAGAAAAUGAAAAGAAAAAGAAAAGAAAAAGGGAACCAAAAGUCAAUGCUGCCUUCCGCCUCGUGUUCUUGGACCUGGUGGUCUUUGACGUACUUCCAAGUCAUCAAACCUGCUGAGCAACUCAGUGAACCGCUGGUCGGUUAUUGCAUUCCUCGCUUCCU
rnacentral:lncRNA from 1 species